rnacentral:rRNA from 1 species
GAAGCGGUAACAGCUCAAAUUUGAAAUCUGGCUCUUGCGGAGUCCGAGUUGUAAUUUGUAGAAGAUGCUUUGGGUUGUGGGUUCGGCCUAAGUUCCUUGGAACAGGACGUCAUAGAGGGUGAGAAUCCCGUAUGUGGCCGAGGCCCGCGCCUAUGUAAAGCUCUUUCAACGAGUCGAGUUGUUUGGGAAUGCAGCUCAAAAUGGGUGGUAAAUUUCAUCUAAAGCUAAAUAUGGGCCAGAGACCGAUAGCGCACAAGUAGAGUGAUCGAAAGAUGAAAAGCACUUUGGAAAGAGAGUUAAACAGUACGUGAAAUUGUUGAAAGGGAAGCGCUUGCAACCAGACUUGGGCGCUGCCGAUCACCUUGAGUUUUCUCGAGUGCACUCGACAGCGCACAGGCCAGCAUCGGUUCGGGUGGCUGGAUAAAGGCCGUAGGAAUGUGGCUCUCUUCGGGGAGUGUUAUAGCCUACGGUGCCAUGCAGCCCAGCCGGACCGAGGACCGCGCCUUCGGGCUAGGAUGCUGGCGUAAUGGUUGUAAGCGACCCGUCUUGAAACACGGACCAAGGAGUCUAACAUCUAUGCGAGUGUUUGGGUGGUAAACCCAUACGCGGAAUGAAAGUGAACGUAGGUGAGAACCCCUUUGGGGCGCAUCAUCGACCGAUCCUGAUGUCUUCGGAUGGAUUUGAGUAAGAGCAUAGCUGUUGGGACCCGAAAGAUGGUGAACUAUGCCUGAAUAGGGUGAAGCCAGAGGAAACUCUGGUGGAGGCUCGCAGCGGUUCUGACGUGCAAAUCGAUCGUCAAAUUUGGGCAUAGGGGCGAAAGACUAAUCGAACCAUCUAGUAGCUGGUUCCUGCCGAGUUC